UACGGAGGGGGCGAGCGUUAUUCGGAAUUAUUGGGCGUGAAGGGCGCGUAGGCGGCUGUACAAGUCAAAGGUGAAAUCCCUCGGCUCAACUGAGGAACUGCCUUUGAAACUGUACGGCUUGAGGCCGGGAGGGGGUAGCGGAAUUCCCAGUGUAGCGGUGAAAUGCGUAGAUACUGGGAGGAACACCAGUGGCGAAGGCGGCUACCUGGACCGGUUCUGACGCUGAGGCGCGAAAGCGUGGGUAGCAAACAGG
rnacentral:rRNA from 1 species